CGGGUGAGUAACGCGUGAGGAACCUGCCUCAAAGAGGGGGACAACAGUUGGAAACGACUGCUAAUACCGCAUAAGCCCACAGCUCGGCAUCGAGCAGAGGGAAAAGGAGCAAUCCGCUUUGAGAUGGCCUCGCGUCCGAUUAGCUAGUUGGUGAGGUAACGGCCCACCAAGGCGACGAUCAAUAGCCGACCUGAGAGGGUGACCGGCCACAUUGGGACUGAGACACGGCCCAA
rnacentral:rRNA from 1 species